rnacentral:rRNA from 1 species
UACAGAGGGGCAAGCGUUGUUCGGAAUUACUGGGCGUAAAGGCGCGUAGGCGCCUUCUAAGUCGAACGUGAAAUCCCGGCUCAACCGGAACUGCGUCCGAUACUGGAAGGCUUGAAUCCGGAGAGGAUGUGGAAUUCCAGGUGUAGCGGUGAAAUGCGUAGAUAUCGGAGGAACACCAGAGGCGAAGCGGCGACCUGGACAGUUACUGACACUCAACUACGAAGCGUGGGAGCAACAGG